rnacentral:tRNA from 1 species
GACUUCGUGGCCCAAUGGAUAAGGCGCUGGUUUACAAAACUAGAGAUUCUGGAUUCGAUCCCCAUCGGAGUCG